rnacentral:rRNA from 1 species
AGCAGCCGCGGUAAUUCCAGCUCCAAUAGCGUAUAUUAAAGUUGUUGCAGUUAAAAAGCUCGUAGUUGAAUUUCGGGAUCAGAUUGUCGGUCGUGCCUCGGUACGCACUGGCAUUAUUGGUUCCUACCUUCUGAAGAACCGCGAUGUCAUUAAUUUGGUGUCGUGGGGAAUCAGGACUGUUACUUUGAAAAAUUAGAGUGUUUAAAGCAGGCGCACGCUUGAAUACAUUAGCAUGGAAUAAUGAAAUAGGACGUUUGAUUCUAUUUUGUUGGUUUCUAGGAUCGACGUAAUGAUUAAUAGGGAUAGUUGGGGGCAUUAGUAUCCAAUUGUCAGAGGUGAAAUUCUUGGAUUUAUUGAAGACUAACUACUGCGAAAGCAUUUGCCAAGGAUGUUUUCAUUAAUACAGGAACGAAAGUUAGGGGAUCGAAGACGAUCAGAUACCGUCGUAGUCUUAACCAUAAACUAUAGCCGACUAGGGAUCGGAUGAUG